rnacentral:piRNA from 1 species
AAUGUGGUGAAAAGCAGUUGAAUCAGCUUU